UACGUAGGGGGCAAGCGUUGUCCGGAUUUAUUGGGCGUAAAGAGCGUGUAGGCGGCCUGAAAGGUCAGCUGUGAAAACUCGAGGCUUAACCUCGAGACGUCGGUUGAAACCAUCUGGCUAGAGUCCGGAAGAGGAGUGUGGAAUUCCCGGUGUAGCGGUGAAAUGCGCAGAUAUCGGGAAGAACACCCGUGGCGAAGGCGGCGCUCUGGGACGGUACUGACGCUGAGACGCGAAAGCGUGGGGAGCGAACAGG
rnacentral:rRNA from 1 species